CCUACGGGAGGCAGCAGUAGGGAAUCUUUCACAAUGGACGAAAGUCUGAUGGAGCAACGCCGCGUGAGCGAAGAAGGGUUUCGGCUUGUAAAGCUCCGUUGGUAGUGAAGAAAAAUAUAGGUAGUAACUGGCUUUUAUUUGACGGUAAUUCUUUAGAAAGUCACGGCUAACUACGUGCCAGCAGCUGCGGUAAUACGUAGGGGGGAAGCGUUAUCCGGAUUUGUUGGGCGUAAGGGGAGUGCAGGCGGAUCGAUAAGUCUGUUGUGAAAGCCUGCGGCUCAACCGGAGAAUUGCAGCAGAAACUGUUAAGCUUGAGUGUAGGAGAGGUGGGCGGAACUCCAUGUGUAGCGGUGGAAUGCGUAGAUAUAUGGAAGAACACCAGUGGCGAAGGCGGCUCUCUGGUCUGCAACUGACGCUGAGGCUCGAAAGCAUGGGUAGCGAACAGGAUUAGAGACCCUUGUAGUC
rnacentral:rRNA from 1 species